rnacentral:tRNA from 1 species
GGAGACGUGGCUGAGUGGUCGAAAGCGCUCCCCUGCUAAGGGAGUAUACUGGCAACGGUAUCGAGGGUUCGAAUCCCUUCGUCUCCG